GCAGCAGUGGGGAAUAUUGCACAAUGGGCGAAAGCCUGAUGCAGCGACCCCCCGUGAGGGAUGAAGGCCUUCGGGUUGUAAACCUCUUUCAGCAGGGAAGAAGCAGCCGGGUUUUCUUGGUUGUGACGGUACCUGCAGAAGAAGCACCGGCUAACUACGUGCCAGCAGCCGCGGUAAUACGUAGGGUGCAAGCGUUGUCCGGAAUUAUUGGGCGUAAAGAGCUUGUAGGUGGUUUGUCGCGUCUGUUGUGAAAUUUCGGGGCUCAACCCCGAACUUGCAGUGGAUACGGGCAGACUAGAGUGUGGUAGGGGAGACUGGAAUUCCUGGUGUAGCGGUGAAAUGCGCAGAUAUCAGGAGGAACACCGAUGGCGAAGGCAGGUCUCUGGGCCAUUACUGACACUGAGAAGCGAAAGCAUGGGGAGCGAACAGGAUUAGAUACCCUGGUAGUCCAUGCCGUAAACGGUGGGAACUAGGUGUGGGUCUCAUUCCACGAGAUCCGUGCCGCAGCUAACGCAUUAAGUUCCCCGCCUGGGGAGUACGGCCGCAAGGCUAAAACUCAAAGGAAUUGACGGGGGCCCGCACAAGCGGCGGAGCAUGCGGAUUAAUUCGAUGCAACGCGAAGAACCUUACCAAGGCUUGACAUGUGCCGGAAAAGUGCAGAGAUGUGCUCCCCGCAAGUCGGUACACAGGUGGUGCAUGGUUGUCGUCAGCUCGUGUCGUGAGAUGUUGGGUUAAGUCCCGCAACGAGCGCAACCCUCGUUCUAUGUUGCCAGCGGGUUAUGCCGGGGACUCAUAGGAGACUGCCGGGGUCAACUCGGAGGAAGGUGGGGAUGACGUCAAAUCAUCAUGCCCCUUAUGUCUUGGGCUUCACGCAUGCUACAAUGGCCAGUACAAAGGGCUGCGAUACCGCAAGGUGGAGCGAAUCCCAAAAAACUGGUCUCAGUUCGGAUUGGGGUCUGCAACUCGACCCCAUGAAGUCGGAGUCGCUAGUAAUCGCAGAUCAGCAACGCUGCGGUGAAUACGUUCCCGGGCCUUGUACACACCGCCAU
rnacentral:rRNA from 1 species